rnacentral:lncRNA from 12 species
UAUAUGGGAUACUUUUUUGCAACAUUUCUCUAUGAUUAUUUUUUAUUUUUUUUCAGAAGAUGCCCACAAAAAAAGAUUUCCAAUUCAGAAAAAAAAAAAAUUGGUAGAAGAAUGGAAGAAAUCGAUGCCUUGUUCAGUUAAAAACAGAUCCGGAUACUCCAACUGUUUGGUAUCAGUUUACAGAGAAUCCGCUGUGUAACAGGUCGCCUUUGCAGGAACAGUUGAAACAAAGAUGAAAGCCACAGUCUGGGUUGGCUCGCCAUCAUUACUUGCAGUUUGUACAUCCUCUCCUCGUACACCACAGAAGAGUUAUUGUUCAGUAUCACUGAACUGAAGUUUAAAACCUUACCUACACAAAAGAUCAUAAAGGAAUUGCAUUAAUCUAUCAGUGUAAAUCAUAACAAUAAAGACUGGCAAACACUGGGAACCAUAGCAUCAUGCUACGUAAUUCCAAUUGACUCAAAGGGGUGGAGUGGUCACUUGUUAAGUCACCACUCCAUCUUUCAUAUAAACAUUCAUAUCUUGUUAACAAUCACUGAUAAAUGGUAUAUAUCUAUUGUUUUAUCCAUACGCCCAUUAGUAUUUUGCUGGUAUUAAAAAAACAACUAAAUCAAGUUAAAUAAAAUGAGACAGUUAACCAAAACCACAGUUUUUUUUUUGCCACUCGGUUUAGAUACUCAAUCAGGUAAGUAUUACUUCUGUCUCUUUCAGCCUUAAGGGUUUUAAAAUCAACUUAUUAAUAUAGCUGCAAGCUAUAUACACACACACACAACGUGUAAAUCCAGAAGCACAGUAUUUAUUUGGAGGUCUUUGUACAGGUUUAUUAAUGUAAUUAUAUUUUAUGCUUAUGUGCUCCUAUGAUUUGCAAUGGAAGUCAGUUUUAAUGUUUAACAUGGGUGUAUUCACAACACAUAUAGCAUACAAUAUAAUAUCUUAAGAUCAUUCUUAAUUAUGUUAAAUACAUCAUUACAAUGUAAGAAAGUAAAUGUAUGUAUUUAUUUAUAACAAGCAAGUAUACUGCAGGGAAUCAAUAAUUGUGGCCAACGUGUUUUGGAGAAAAACAUUUAUUUCAUAAUUUAAUUUCUCCCCACUUUUAAUUAUUUUACUUCAACGAAAGGUUCGAUUUUUGGCAAUUUUUUUAAUGAAAGGGUAAGGAGGGUAAACAAUGCAGAUUUCUUUUUUACAGCCAGUUUUGAUCAUAUUUACCAGGGGUG